CAUCAAGAAGCUUAUGUUCUGUUGAAGGAGAGAGACCAUAGACAAAUAAAGAAAUUAAAUAUAAAAUAGAAGGUGAUAAGUGCUAUGAAGCAAAAUGAAUCGAGUUAAGGGCUUUAUAGAGCUCCCCUUCCUGUAGUUUCUUCUGCUUGCUUGUGUCCUGAGAUUCCUGGCUCUGCUUUCUGUCCCACCUGAACAUCCUUUCCGUACUCUGAUACCGAAGACAUGCUAAAUCUGGAUCUCACUCCCAGCAGUUACUCCUUGGGGCCCUGUCCUGGAUGUGAGUGUUAGCAGUUGCAGUUACUCACGUAUAACCAUGGUUUGAACAUACUGCAUGGAAAAUUCUAUACACAAACAAUUCAUAAGUUUUAAGUUGUCCACCAUUCUGAAUGGUAAAAUCACAUGCUGCCUAACUCCAUCCCUUCUUUACCACCAAAAGAAGGGUUGGGCCAUGAACCAACUUGGACUUCCUAUGCACUAUCAGCUACCCUGCUGCUGCGCCUUCUCACGUGACACCAC